AUCUAGCUGACGAGUUGAGAAUAGCACGAAACGUACGUCAAACUGGAU
rnacentral:hammerhead_ribozyme from 1 species